rnacentral:lncRNA from 1 species
UGAGUACGGAAACCCAGUUCGUCAGACAGACGAAUAUGGUAACCCAGCCCGCCAUGGAGGUACCAUGGGUGAUUAUGGAACCACUGGCACUACUGGAGCCUAUGGUGGCACAGCUGGAGCACAUGGGACUUAUGCAACUGGAACCACCGGCACUACCGGUACCGGUGCGUAUGCCACCCAGCCUGGCACUGAUGUGGGGAAGGAGCACCAUGGCCUUGGUGGCAUGCUUCAUCGCUCUGGUAGCGGUAGCUCUAGCUCGGUAUGCCCUCCUAAUUAAUCUCGUCUUGCUUAAAUUGUACUGAGUUGUAGUAGCAUUUAACAAAUCUUGACCAGCUUGUGAUGACUGGUAAUUAAAAAGUUCUUAUCUGUUUUCUUUUUGUUUUUUCGGUUGGGAUGCAGUCCGAGGAUGAUGGGCAAGGCGGGAGGAGGAAGAAGGGGAUGAAGGAGAAGAUAAAGGAGAAACUGCCUGGCGGUCACAAGGAGGCUCGACCUGGACAAGAAUAUUCGAGUGCUACUACAGCUCCUGGAUACGGCGGGGAAGGAGAGCAGCACGAGAAGAAAGGAAUUAUGGAUAAAAUCAAGGAGAAAUUACCAGGGGGUCACAACAACUGAAGAUCUAAUUCUAAUAAUAUGGGAUCCAAUUAUGAUAUUGUGUACCCCUAUUUUCAAUCUCAAUCUCAAUCUCGUUCGUGUCAUGUUUGUGUUUUCUGAGAUUUGAGUGUGUGGACGU